CUUGCAUAUCUGGGCUCAGUCUCUGUACUCUCACUGCAAGCCUGAGAGGAAUGCAUUGAGAGGAUGGCAUGAGGAAGCACUUUUUCCUAUGUGAGGUCUUGAGUUACUGCUGAAAGCAUCCUGAGUGACACAAACUUGAAGCAUGCAAGAGGACUAAAUAACUUCCAAAGUCACACAUAUUGCAUGUCAAGAGCCAGCUUCAAACUCAAGUCCCUGUGACCAGAGGUCGAUGCUCUAAACACAUUUCUGCAUGACCUGCUUGUGGCAGCCUGGAGAAAUUCUACAUAAAUCUUCUCAGAUUCCAGAGGCUGCGAGGUCUGAGAUCAAGGAUCUGACACCUGGUGAGGGCCUUUUUGCUGCAUCAUUUCACAUAGAGACAAAAAGAUUCUCACCUGUAAGCUUGAAUUAUGUCUACAUCAUGCUUGGGAAAUGUCCAUAUAUUCUAAGCUUGAAACUGCAGUGAUGAGGACGUCACCACUUCCAGAGAGAACACUUUACUACCAGGCAACUUGAGUACAAUAGGCAGCCACAAAUAUCAUCCUUGCUAGCCAGGAAUGACAAGGAGCAAGCCACAUGAGGAGUCAGAAAAGAUUAUUCCAGGCAGGGCUGAGAUCUGCAUUAUGGUCUGGAGGCUGCCCCAGUCUCUCCUUUACCUCCAUAUUUUUCUCACAGGACUUUUCUUCAUCAUGUGAAGAAGCCAACACAGACAUCAACUCUUGCAGAAAUAUUUACAUUCCAGGAUGGGUGGAAUAUUCAUCCUCUAAGACACUCUCCUUACUGCUCAUUUCACUUCUGGGUACAGUAAAUAUCAUUAUUUUUUGGUUUUUUAAUAUAUCUGUCUCAUAAUAUUGUUCAUUCUUAAAGGAUAACAACCAUAUCUUGUCCAUCUUCAUAACCUUGAAGAAUAUUAUAGUACUUUGUUAAUAGAUAACAUUCAAUAAAUAUUUGUGGAAGAAAUUUAAUGAUUGGAUAAUUAUAGUCAAAUAUAUUGAGAAGAAACAGGGUAAAGAUAUUGAUUAA
rnacentral:lncRNA from 10 species